rnacentral:rRNA from 1 species
UACAGGGGGUGCAAACGUUGCUCGGAAUCAUUGGGCGUAAAGCGCACGUAGGCGGCUCGUUAUGUCGGAUGUGAAAGCCCUUGGCUUAACCGAGGAAGUGCAUCCGAAACUGGCGAGCUAGAGUACGAAAGAGGAUCGCGGAAUUCCCGGUGUAGAGGUGAAAUUCGUAGAUAUCGGGAGGAACACCGGUGGCGAAGGCGCCUUGCUGGCCGAUUUCUGACGCUGAGGCGCGAAAGCGUGGGGAGCAAACAGG